rfam:Gorilla gorilla gorilla genomic chromosome, chr6, whole genome shotgun sequence
GCUGGGUGCAGCGGCGUGUGCCUGCAGUCUCAGCUACUUGGGAGGCUGUGGAGGGAGGAUCACUUGAGUCCAGGAGUUUGAGGAUGUGGUGCACUAUGAUUGCAUCAUGAUCAUCUGUGAAUAGCCAAUGCACUCUAGCCUGGGCAACAUAGUGAGAUCCCAUCUCUA